UCAGGAUGAACGCUAGCUACAGGCUUAACACAUGCAAGUCGAGGGGCAUCAGGAAGAAAGCUUGCUUUCUUUGCUGGCGACCGGCGCACGGGUGAGUAACACGUAUCCAACCUGCCCUUUACUCGGGGAUAGCCUUUCGAAAGAAAGAUUAAUACCCGAUAGCAUAAUGAUUCCGCAUGGUUUCAUUAUUAAAGGAUUCCGGUAAAGGAUGGGGAUGCGUUCCAUUAGGUUGUUGGUGAGGUAACGGCCCACCAAGCCUUCGAUGGAUAGGGGUUCUGAGAGGAAGGUCCCCCACAUUGGAACUGAGACACGGUCCAAACUCCUACGGGAGGCAGCAGUGAGGAAUAUUGGUCAAUGGGCGCUAGCCUGAACCAGCCAAGUAGCGUGAAGGAUGAAGGCUCUAUGGGUCGUAAACUUCUUUUAUAUAAGAAUAAAGUGCAGUAUGUAUACUGUUUUGUAUGUAUUAUAUGAAUAAGGAUCGGCUAACUCCGUGCCAGCAGCCGCGGUAAUACGGAGGAUCCGAGCGUUAUCCGGAUUUAUUGGGUUUAAAGGGAGCGUAGGUGGACUGGUAAGUCAGUUGUGAAAGUUUGCGGCUCAACCGUAAAAUUGCAGUUGAUACUGUCAGUCUUGAGUACAGUAGAGGUGGGCGGAAUUCGUGGUGUAGCGGUGAAAUGCUUAGAUAUCACGAAGAACUCCGAUUGCGAAGGCAGCUCACUGGACUGCAACUGACACUGAUGCUCGAAAGUGUGGGUAUCAAACAGGAUUAGAUACCCUGGUAGUCCACACAGUAAACGGUGAAUACUCGCUGUUUGCGAUAUACAGUAAGCGGCCAAGCGAAAGCAUUAAGUAUUCCACCUGGGGAGUACGCCGGCAACGGUGAAACUCAAAGGAAUUGACGGGGGCCCGCACAAGCGGAGGAACAUGUGGUUUAAUUCGAUGAUACGCGAGGAACCUUACCCGGGCCUAAAUUGCAGUGGAAUGAUGUGGAAACAUGUCAGUGAGCAAUCACCGCUGUGAAGGUGCUGCAUGGUUGUCGUCAGCUCGUGCCGUGAGGUGUCGGCUUAAGUGCCAUAACGAGCGCAACCCUUAUCUUUAGUUACUAACAGGUUAUGCUGAGGACUCUAGAGAGACUGCCGUCGUAAGAUGUGAGGAAGGUGGGGAUGACGUCAAAUCAGCACGGCCCUUACGUCCGGGGCUACACACGUGUUACAAUGGGGGGUACAGAAGGCAGCUAGCGGGUGACCGUAUGCUAAUCCCAAAAUCCUCUCUCAGUUCGGAUCGAAGUCUGCAACCCGACUUCGUGAAGCUGGAUUCGCUAGUAAUCGCGCAUCAGCCACGGCGCGGUGAAUACGUUCCCGGGCCUUGUACACACCGCCCGUCAAGCCAUGGGAGCCGGGGGUACAAGAAGUACGUAACCGCAAGGAUCGUCCUAGGGU
rnacentral:rRNA from 1 species